rnacentral:lncRNA from 1 species
UUUGAACAGAUAUACAGGUACAGUUACUAGUAUAUAUGUCAAAUUUUACUGCGUAGUGCGCCACACUUUUGGCAUUACUAGCAUUGGUCAAUAUUUGAGUGUUGGGUUAAACUAUUCUUUAGCUUAAGUCAUUAUUUUGUUGGGAUAUCAAGGACCUUAAUUGUCCAUCUUUGGAUGGAUGAUAGACUAGAAGAGAAACUAUCCUUUAGCUUUGCAACACGUUGUCCACAAAGAAUUUGUUAGAGGGGAUUGUAAGGAACUGGUAAUUCUCUACAUAAGUAAAGGAUAGGUUAAAGUUUCAUCUGAGAUGGUGCCCUACACAAAGCGAGGUGGAUGUCUAAGCUUCUUUAUGCUAUAAAGAUCGAUCUUCUCAGCAAAAAUAUAGUUCAAGGAUUAUCUUAGGGGACUGUAUAUGUGAGUUGACAGCAGCAGAAACUAAAUCACGUUGUAUACUUUUUUAUUUUUGGUUACCUGUCUUGGUGGUUUACAGCUCCACUUCCUUCAGCAGCAACUUUGAUCAGUUUUAUGAAGAUCUAUAAAACUUGUCUAGAUCCAACAAUCAAGGAAUUCUCGGCACAUUCGUGGUACCUAACUGAAGAACUCGUACCAUUAGCGUUAUUUUUUUGAUAAAUUUAGAAAUUACAUCAAAAUAUACAUGGUAUCAAAAUUACUGACUUUAAGACGAAGACUCUGUAGCAAGAGGCAUAGCUCAAGAUAUUCCCUUCAAAAUCAAAGAAACAGAAA